rnacentral:lncRNA from 1 species
UGGAAUAAGAAGGAUCAGAUCUAUACCCCCGAGCUAAUAUCAAGGCCAACAGCUGAAAUAGAAGCUCACCAGGAACCCAAAUCAGACGAGGUGGCUAUAGUGGAAAACGUAGCAUCAGAUCCAGAAAUGGUGGAUUUGACAGAUAGUGAUUCAGACACUAAAGUUGAAGCUGCUCAAGCAUCAACGGAGAUACAGGAUCUGGAGAACAAGGUUUCUACGCUGGAAAGGCUGUGGGAGAUUGAGACGUUGCUUAAUAUCCAGCUGCGUCAAGCAUUGCUAGCAACAAUGGAAGAGCAGGA